CCUCGGGGUGCGUGGGCAACUGCGCUGAGAUGCCAAUACUGGCGGACCCGUUGAACCUGAACCGGCUAAAACCGGCGGAGGGAAGGUCU
rnacentral:ncRNA from 1 species